CCUACGGUGGGCAGCAGUGGGGAAUAUUGCACAAUGGGGGAAACCCUGAUACAGCGACGCCGCGUGAGUGAAGACGUAAUUCGUUAUGUAAAGCUCUAUCAGCAGGGAAGAAAAUGACGGUACCUGAAUAAGAAGCCCCGGCUAACUACGUGCCAGCAGCCGCGGUACUACGGAGGGGGCCAGCGUUCUCCGGAUUUACUGGGUGUAAAGGGAGCGUAGACGGGAGUGCAAGUAAGGAGUGAAAGGCGGGGGUACAACCCGCGGACUGCUAUGGAAACUGUACGGUUGGAGUGCAGGAGAGGUAAGUGGAAUGCCGGGUGUAGCGGUGAAAUGCGGAGAUAUUAGGAGGAACACCAGUGGAGAAGGCGGCUUACUGGACUGUAACUGACGUUGAGGCUCGAAAGCGUGGGGAGCAAACAGGAUUAGAUACCCCAGUAGUC
rnacentral:rRNA from 1 species